UUUGAUCCUGGCUCAGAUUGAACGCUGGCGGCGUGCCUAACACAUGCAAGUCGAGCGGCAGCGCGGGGGCAACCCUGGCGGCGAGCGGCGGACGGGUGAGCAAUAUUUGGGAAUCUGCCUAUUAGUGGGGGACAACCCGGGGAAACUCGGGCUAAUACCGCAUACGCACUACGGUGGAAAGCCGGGGACCGCAAGGCCUGGCGCUAAUAGAUGAGCCCAAAUCGGAUUAGCUAGUUGGUGAGGUAAUGGCUCACCAAGGCGACGAUCCGUAGCUGGUCUGAGAGGACGACCAGCCACACCGGAACUGAGACACGGUCCGGACUCCUACGGGAGGCAGCAGUGGGGAAUAUUGGACAAUGGGCGAAAGCCUGAUCCAGCGACGCCGCGUGGGUGAAGAAGGCCUGCGGGUUGUAAAGCCCUUUCGGUGGGGAAGAAAAGCCUCGACCUAACACGUCGGGGUCUUGACGUAACCCAUAGAAGAAGCACCGGCUAACUCUGUGCCAGCAGCCGCGGUAAUACAGAGGGUGCGAGCGUUAAUCGGAAUUACUGGGCGUAAAGCGCGCGUAGGCGGCUUUGCAAGUCGGAUGUGAAAUCCCCAGGCUUAACCUGGGAACUGCAUUCGAGACUGCAUUGCUAGAGUAUGGGAGAGGGAAGUGGAAU
rnacentral:rRNA from 1 species